rnacentral:rRNA from 1 species
GAUGAACGCUGGCGGCGUGCCUAAUACAUGCAAGUCGAGCGAACGGACGAGAAGCUUGCUUCUCUGAUGUUAGCGGCGGACGGGUGAGUAACACGUGGAUAACCUUCCUAUAAGACUGGGAUAACUUCGGGAAACCGGGGCUAAUACCGGAUGAUAUUUUGAACCGCAUGGUUCAAAAGUGAAAGACGGUCUUGCUGUCACUUAUAGAUGGAUCCGCGCUGCAUUAGCUAGUUGGUAAGGUAACGGCUUACCAAGGCAACGAUGCAUAGCCGACCUGAGAGGGUGAUCGGCCACACUGGAACUGAGACACGGUCCAGACUCCUACGGGAGGCAGCAGUAGGGAAUCUUCCGCAAUGGGCGAAAGCCUGACGGAGCAACGCCGCGUGAGUGAUGAAGGUCUUCGGAUCGUAAAACUCUGUUAUUAGGGAAGAACAUAUGUGUAAGUAACUGUGCACAUCUUGACGGUACCUAAUCAGAAAGCCACGGCUAACUACGU